rnacentral:rRNA from 1 species
GACGAACGCUGGCGGCGUGCUUAACACAUGCAAGUCGAACGGAAAGGCCCUGCUUUUGUGGGGUGCUCGAGUGGCGAACGGGUGAGUAACACGUGAGUAACCUGCCCUUGACUUUGGGAUAACUUCAGGAAACUGGGGCUAAUACCGGAUAGGACCUCCUGCUGCAUGGUGGGGGUUGGAAAGUUUCGGCGGUUGGGGAUGGACUCGCGGCUUAUCAGCUUGUUGGUGGGGUAGUGGCUUACCAAGGCUUUGACGGGUAGCCGGCCUGAGAGGGUGACCGGCCACAUUGGGACUGAGAUACGGCCCAGACUCCUACGGGAGGCAGCAGUGGGGAAUAGUGCACAAUGGGCGGAAGCCUGAUGCAGCAACGCCGCGUGCGGGAUGACGGCCUUCGGGGUGUAAACCGCUUGCGCCUGUGACGAAGCGUGAGUGACGGUAAUGGGUAAAGAAGCACCGGCUAACUACGUG